AUAUAAAUUACAGAUUGAUUCUCUCCCAAGGGGUCCACGUCGACAUCCACGUCAUCAAUUCGGAUGCUGUCAAGCCGACACGUGUCUACUCUAACCAAAACGCAGCGGUUCAUUAAAGAUCUGUCAUCAUGGGCUUUAUUUGAAUGUACUUUGGCUUUAAUAUUGUAAAGAGUCUGGGUCCGGCGUGGAGGAGACCCUCUCACUACAAGAAAACACACUACAUUCUGACGGACAUUCCGACGGACAAUAUUUUCAUCGGUUUUCUUUGAUAAUAUCGAGGCUUCCUUUAUCGAUAUUCUCGAAACAUUACGACGGAAUUCCGACGAAUUUAAUAUGACGGAUAGGUUUCGUCGGAAUUUUUCACUUUACCCGGGAAGAAAAUUUGUGAAAUUUAUUUAGUUAACCACUUAAAAUAGAACUGACCGAAUGCCGACGAAUCCGUCAGUUUAUUUUUAAUACAUAAGCUGACCCUUCUUCUUCUUCCUCAUUUUUUUCUAUUCUCCUCUGCAAUCUACGCGGUCUUACUCCUCUCUCUCUCUCUAACAAAUCUGCGAUUCCGACCCCAAAUCCUCCAAAUCUCUUCCCCAAUCAUCUAAGAAACGAAGUUUGUCUCUUCAUGCCUGCGACGUUUGCGAUUUUCUCACCAUCUAAAACGGUCUGAGUAAAGGCUUCGUGAUUUCUUCCAUUGAUUCGCUCUCCCACUCCGUCUUCUCCAAUGCUUUUCGAUCUGAGAUGUUGUGUUUCAGUAUAAAUACGUAUGCCUCGGUGGUUCUGUGGUGAUACUCUAUGCCCGUGGUGGAGGUUUACUGGUCUGUUCUGGUAUCUAUCUAUGAAAUUGGAAGCUCGAGCUUCUUCUUGCCUUUCGGUGGUGGUUUUGUGCUACUGAAGGUUUAUUGCAGCGAGUAACCCUUGAAGGUGGCUUCUUCGUUUAUUUCUUUAGGGUUUGUUUCUUUAAGGGUUUUUGGUAGCUGAUAUACUCGCUGGACUUCGCCUCAUCAGGUCGUUCCUAUUUUCUUUUCUUUUUAUUGGUUAUUUCAUUAUUCUUUUGAAUUCUGUUGUUUAUCAAUUUUAGUUAAACCUCAUUUUGUUUUCUUGGUGUUUUAUUUAACCUUAUGAUACACUAAAUAUGAAUCUUUGCUAAUGCCAAGUUAACAGUUGUGAUUAUAGUACUUUAGAUUCAAUCCAGAGGACCAGUCUACACUUUACUCUUAUAAAUUUCAAUAUCAAGCUAAGAAGAAAAUGGUUUUCAAUUCAAUUGGUGACGCGGAAAACAAGUAAACUAGAGUUUGAUUCAAUUUAACAAGAAGCUAGCCUAGGGUAUUUCAUUGGGUGUUGAGCGAGAGCCAAACAAUUAUUCAAGCGCGAUGCAGUGCUUUCUAGAACUCGGAUCACUCAGCUGGAACACCCCACUGUCGUGGUCGUGAUCUCUUUGCUGGUCGAUCCCAUCAUCUAACUGUCGUUGAGAUGAGAAACGACUACAAGCCUUAGAGAUCAGGUCCGAUCAGUUCACUUACUACCCUAAUAUCUACUUUCGCUGAUUAGGGAUACUAAGCUCAUUCAAUACAUGUCAAGCUAUCUCCUAAGCGGUUAGCUAGGCGAUAAACUUAGGAUCUAACAUCAAGUGAUCAGAUUAAUGGAAGCCUUAAGAAUAGUAUGGAUGAAGAAUAAUCAAGAAUAGCUUAUCUAUGUUUAGCUCAUAUUUCAACACCCUAAAAACCCUAGGCGAGCUAGAUCACUACUCAAUCAUGAUGCAAGCAAUCAAAGACAUAGAUCCUGAAUGAAACUGCAUAAUAAUAAGAGUAGUAAACAAAGGGUUCAGAUGGUCUUCUCUAUGAGAGAAUGGAUUCUUCUCCCUUACAAGUUGCCGAUCGCAAAAGCUAAUAGUUCUCUUGUAAAAACUAGCGUAAGAAUUAAAAUAGGAUAGGUGGCGUCUUUAUAUGGAGGCGCCAAUAGGUAGAAAAGAUAUUAGGGCAACAGGGCCUUAAUUCCCGAAAAUAGAAGAUUCCUUAUUUGUCGGGAACAACCUCGGGAUCACUCCGUCUGCUUGUUCUGCUUGCGGACAGUCUCGGGACUGUUCGUCUUGAGUGUUCUCCGCAAAAUGCUCCAAAAGGACAGCUUCUCUUCAAGCACCCUCUCUUCAUUCUUCUACCAACUCCAGACCUGUAAAAGAUCAAAAAGGACUAGACUGACAUGGAUUAAGGACUCGAAUCAAUACGAAAACACCUAUACAAUGAUGUGAAAAACACCAUAUAUCACUUUACAUACCAGGACUGCAAAUCUUCAACGGGUCAGAAGAUUGUGAACUGAACCUGAUCAACAAAAGCCAAUCUAAUCACAUGAGAUCUUUUGGUCAGGGUCAACAGCUAUGGCAAGUGGAAUGUUAUUGCUUAUAAUUCCAUCAUAUAUUUUUAAAUUUAAACCUCAGAUUGGAGACAAACUAAAAUUAUAAAUGGAACUGUUGGUUUUGUCUUAUCUUUGCAGGCUUGGAUUGCAAACUUUUAAAAGAAUGUUGUUCAAGCAUAUGUGAAAUAGAAGUAUUCAGACAUUUGGAGUUGUGUAGUAAGCAUGUAGCUCACGAUUUGUCUGUCACUUUUAAAGAUUUGGUGCAGUGCUCAUGAAUAUGUAGAACCUAAUGUGGUACUUGAGAGAGGAUUUGAAAGCUUGCUUAAUAAAGGUAUUUUCCAGUUUCUUAGUUUAAUGCUCAAAGCAUGACCGUCUGUUGAAAAUCUACAAACCCGUACAAUACUCUCGCUAACAUCCUUGCGCAUUUUAAUUCGUCAAAGGAAAUUGAAACCAUAAAGCAGGAAAUUGUAAGCAUAUGCAUGUACGCUACUUGGUUGGUAGGCAGAUAAGAGAGUAAGCAUGUGUUUGGUCUUAGAUAGAUAAAAAAUUCUCAAUACGCUUUAAGGUCAUAAUUCUCUUUCCAACACGUGAUUUUUAGACAAAGUUGAGCAUUUACUCAAAUCAGUUUCUUCUCCUUAUUGAAUAGUGAUCGGUUUCUUCCCGACAAAGCUAUCGACUUUAUUGAUGAAGAUGGGUCUUUGGUUCGACUUCGCCAUGCUCAGGUUCAUAGUUGCAUGUUUCUCACAUUACGGUGCUGACUUUUUUUAAUUGUAAACUGGCUACGGUGCUACGGUGCAGAGACUUCAUAGAAGAGUUAUUGGCCAAAACGAAGUUGUCAUAGCUAUUAUCCAGGCGAUCCGACGUGCAUGUCUUGCGCUCGAGAACCCAAACCGCCAAAUCCAGUGUUAUGAAUUUCUUACAAGUAUUCUAUGUACUUUAUCUUUUGUGUAGUAUAUCUUUUCAUUCUAUUUAAUUCUACUUAAAAUCAAUUGGUUGUGUUCGCUGAGAACAUAUUUUUAAACUGUGCAUUUACAAAAUGUAGUUACCAGUUCUCAUAUUUUUUUCGUUGACAGUCAAUAGUAAUUUACCGUAAUGCAUUUACGUAAUUCGGAUUAGCCAAGUAAAUAACUGUAUGAAGCUAAUGCUUCACAAGUUGAAUAAAUUUCACCCAAUAUUUAAUAACCAACAAAACGUUAGUAAGGGUUUCACAAGAGUGUAUGGUUAGCCUCUACAAGGCAUUUCAGGAUUAACAAAAUUCAUAAAUAACAUCAGAAUCAUUCUAUUAACAGUAUUUUCAACAAAAUAUUAUUGCCUAGACUUACCCAACAACAACAACAUUAUGCAACAAAAAAAAAACGAUAAAUUGAGUUACAUCCCGAGCGAAGUAUUUCG